rnacentral:rRNA from 1 species
GACGAACGCUGGCGGCGUGGAUUAGGCAUGCAAGUCGAACGGUAUCAUCCUUUCGGGGGUGAGAGAGUGGCGAACUGGUGAGUAACACGUAGGUUAUCUACCCUCAAGACGGGGACAACCCAGGGAAACUUGGGCUAAUACCGGAUGUGAGCAACUUUUAGUUGUUUGAAAGGUGGCGUAAGCUGUCGCUUGGGGAUGAGCCUGCGUCCUAUUAGUUAGUUGGUGAGGUAACGGCUCACCUAGGCAAUGAUAGGUAGGCGGCCUUAACGGGUGGUCGCCCACACUGGGAUUGAGAUACGGCCCAGACUCCUACGGGAGGCAGCAGUCGAGAAUAGUCUACAAUGGUCGGAAGACUGAUAGUGCGACGCCGCGUGAACGAUGAAUCCUCGGGUGUAAAGUCUUUUAUAUGUGAGCAGUGCUUCUUAUAUUAACAGUAUGGGGAGAGAGAUAUUAGCAUAUGAAUAAGCAACGGCUAACUCCGUGCCAGCAGCCGCGUAAACUCG